CGCGCCCUGGCCGACCGCGGGAGGUCCGGGCCUGCAGGGGCGCGGCGCGGGGGUCCGCGGAGCAGUUGUAGCUCCGAGCGGGACCUGCCGGGCAGCCGCCCCGCCAACCCCUGCGUCCGGCCCCUGGACCUGAUGGGACGCCGAGUGCGGACUGCGGCUCCGCGGAAGGACGGAGAGAAGGUUCUGGCUUCGCUUCAAGGGCCAGAUCAAAGCAAACACCCCUCUUCCUUCUGCGUGUCCUCACCGGACGCGUGACAGGACACCAGGGAAGCUGGAAGGCCUCGUUUUCUGAGACGGACAGGGCACCGAACGAGUCGCCCACUCAGACACGCGGGCCGAGUGAACCCCCCCGGCCCAGCCAGCCACACAUGAGCGCGGGGUCCGCUGACCCUCGGACACCCCUUGCCUGGGGCCACCAGCAGUCUCGCAGGUGGCCACAGCGCAGCUACCCCACUUUCAUGUCCCGGGUGCUCUUUGAGCACCAAACACACGGUGUGGAGGGUGGGCUCCGGAGUCAGGCAGAUGGGAUUCGUCUGGGAGCUCUGCCACUCUCUAGAGCUGUGACCUUGGGUAGGUCAUUUGACCUCCCUGAGCCUCAGCCUCUUCAUCUGUAGAAUAAGAUCAUACAGCUCGUACUUUUGUUCCUGUGAGGUUUACAGGUGCAGUGCUCGGCACUCCGACCAGUCCUGUACAGUUAACACAGAUGUCCUCAGCCGGUAGCUUUGGGGGGGGGCGCUGAAUCCAGCAGUGGCCCAGCCCCCACACGGGGAGGACCGAGAGCUCCCUGCAGGAGUGGGGCGGGCUGCCCUCCAGAGAGAGGAAACCAAGCUGGAUCUGCGUCUUGCCCUGUGGGUGAGAGGGGCAGUGACUAACUAGCUUGCAGGGUGAGGCAGCCGGGGUGGGAUGUGACCGGGAAAUCCCACGGAAAGGGGACCGGCUGGGAGCACUGGAUCUGUGUAGCCGCAGCUCUGUGCACAGGAGGCCAGGGAGGAGGGGGGACAGCCACAGUCCUCAGCUCUGUGAGCCAGGUGUGCAAAAGUGGGGGUGGCCAUGGCCUGUGGUCCCAGAGGACAGAACUGAGCCCGGAUACACCUUGCAGAGACUGAGGGCUGCUAAGUGUCAGGAAGACACAGGGCUGAGCCCCCAGCCUGGGCAGAUGGGACUGGACAAGGGACCGCUACCGUUCCUCAGCAGCUGCUGUCUGUGCUUCUCAGCGGAAAGCUGGGCCCCCAGCCUGACCAUCCUGCACCAGAGCCCGCUGUCCCUUCCGGCCACCCCUGGCAAGGGAGGAGGCUGCCUCUGUCCCCGGCUUCCUUGGGCCAGGCCACUUCCCAAAUCAUAUCCAACGCAUUAAAAUGCCCCACAUUCUACGGUAAACAUUGCUCUAAAAAUGUUUGAAGGCAUUUGUAUAAUCAUGAUGCUAGUAUUUUCUGACUGUGAGGAAUUCAUUUUAAUUUAUGUCUGGUUGACAGUUUCUUGGCAAUCAUCAUGUCUGUGUGGGCACCCUGGCCGAGUGAGAGAAAUCCAGCCCACACAUUGUUUUCAAAGGGAGUGACAUUUCUUAUUGAAGUUUAUUUCUGAGUGACCUGUACACCCCACGUGGGGCUCCAAUUCACGACCCCAAGGUCAGGAGUCGCACACUCUGCUGACCGAGCCAGCCGCGUCCCCUAACAGGACUGACGUUUUUAGGAUUACUGUGACAUUGACAUGACGGUACCUCUUGUAGACAUUUGAUUCAAUGGGUAUUAAUGUGGAUUUUGCUUUUCUCUUGGAGCCCCAGUUUAUCUGUUUUAGGCUACAGACAUUUUGUCGGCCCCUUGAGAGCUGGCCGAGGCACCGGGCCUGCAGAGUCUACAGAACAGACCAUCCUGACCAGGCCGGGAAUGUGGCCCCCACCGUCCUGGGACCCCAGCAAGCCGGACAAAGUGGCCACAACAUCUCAGCAAAGUCCCUGUCCCUGCAGCCCAGCCAAGUAGAAGUGGCCGAGAAUUCAGGACCCACCCGACCCCCUCCUGACCCCCCAGACCUCUCCCAGGCCACCAGCCCUGUCCAUUCCCUCAACCAAGACGCUUUUUUCCUGAAACAAACCCUGCAUUGUGUCACACCGGGGUCGCCAUGCCCGAAGGGGCUACAGGACAGCCCUUAUCUCAGCUCCUGCUGCCCUUCCCCCACCCUCUGUUUGGGCAAGUUCAGUCAGUUUAUGUAAAAUGCUGAACAAACGCAACUUCAGUUCCCGUCCUUUCCAGGCAGGUCCCCUGCUCAAGGCCGUCGUACACGGGAACUCUGCCGGCUCCUGGGUCCUCCCUCGUGGCCCUUCCUCCGUGGCUCAGGUCCCCAAGUCUCCUAGCUGAAUGUCCGCGUCCUGUGGCCAGGGUCCAGCCUGUGUAGUCCCCCCUCCCCAUGUCUAGGACAGGCCUGCUUGGGGCCGCAGGGUCUGCCCCCUCUAGCCUCUUGGAGCCCAGUGACCAGAAGGAAGUGGCCAACCCAGGAGGAAGUGGCUGCUGUUUACCCAAAAGGGGAAAUUUGGGCAGUGAGGGUGCUCCCACAUGGCCAACCUCUGGGCAAGCCCCAGGGACACAGAGCCAGUGACUCAUCCCGGGCCAGUUUCCCUCAAGAGGAAUGGGGUGAGAAGCCUGGCCACGCGCAGCCCCUGUGCCUCUCAGACCCCGGGGGACAAGCCUGCCAGGUCACUGUUAGUGACACAGCAGGAGCCCCGCAGUUCUGCGGGGAGUGCAGAGAGGAGAGACCUCACUGCCUGCUGUGCUGUGUGUUCUCAGACUUGUCUGUGCCCUCUCUGGGCUGCCGUUUCCCACCUGUACUGCCAGGGGCUGGGUGGCCAGCUGAGCCCAGUGGGCCCGUGGGCUUUCGUCCUGCAGCUCCUGGGACCAGUGGACACUCCUCUUUCCAGCUUCUUGAGUGUUUCAGGCAUCACAGCCAACCGAUCCCUCCCUUCUGGGCUCUCUUCCAUCCUGCCCUGUGGUCAGUAUAAGCAUUACCCCGGGGGGUCAUAGGUCUGCGUGUUCCCUGGGCCCUAACCACAGCUCCCCCUCCCCCCCGCCGCCCGGAGAGAUGGCGGGGAUGGAGCCCUCCUGUGCCUGAAGCAGAGAGCAUGGGAUCCUGAGGUGAGGCACAGGGGGAUCUCAGGAGGACCUUGCUGACCCCAGAGCAUGUGUGGAGGAAGCUGGCCUGGGAGGGAGGGGAUUGCAGUUCAGGGCACAGUGCUGGAAAGGGAACCGAGGGAGCAGGGCCGGCGGCAGGGCCCAGGGAGCAGCCCCAUGGGGAGGCCUCACCACGGGCUCUGGGGAGACGGCCGUCCACGUGCACGUCCACACAGCCCCGCACCAUGCCUCCUGCCCUGCAGGGUGGUGGGAGGGAAGGAAGAGGGGCUGUGUGACUCUGGCUGUGCCGCCUGUGCAGGAAGCGUGCUCGGCAGGCAGGGGCGGCUGCGGAGAGGAACCCAAAACCCCUCCCCCACCCUGGCCCCACGGACCCUCUCUCGGCCUGGAUGUGCGGACUCUGGCUUCCAGAAAGCCUAGUUUCCCUACCAAAUGGGCAGGCAAAUCUCCACACCUUGUGAUUGCCUUUCCUAGAGGGAGGUCCCCGAGAUGCUGGCCACUUUCCCAGCCCCAGGGGCCAGGGCUCCAAGGCUCCAACCGGCAGAGGCCUGGCUGCCCCAGGGAGCUGAUGGAGGGCAGAGGGUGGGCAGAGGAGGCCUGCACCGGAGACAGCAGCCCACCUGCCUUCAGGGUUCCCCCCACCCCGGGCCCCCUGUCCGCAGGCUUCCCCCUUCGCAGCCCCCCUGCGAGGCCCAUGAGGGAGGUGGGGGGAGAGGGCCUCCUGGUUGGGCGAAGGGGUCUCCAAAAGGGGUAAGAGGUGCUGACUUAGGCCGAGCAAUGAGGGGAGCAGGGCUGGGGGGUUCCUGAGGGAGGGGUAGGGACAGAAGGACACCCAGCAAGGGCCCACUUGGGGUCUGUUUUGGAGUGCGUUUGGAAGAUAAGGUACAGAACUGGCGUGGCAGGGAAAGGCGCCCCCCCGGGGGGAAGGGCAGAGGCAAAGCUUCGGUUCCGCUGAUGGGGGGGGGGUGGGCAGGGGAGGCCUGGCACUGUGUCCUGCUCAGUCCAGACCAGGCCAGGCCUUCCCGGUCCUGGGUCUGUUUCACACCUCUGCGGUCACCCAGCCUGGGACAGGGAGGGGAGGAAACGGGGUGUAUUUGAAGUGCCUGGUGCAUCAUCGUGGACCUGCCAUGGUGGGGCUCCAUGCUCCCAGCUGUCAGGGGUGGGGGGGAUCCCCCAGGGCCACAGGGCAGGCUGUCGGAGGGGGGGAUCCCAGGGCCAUGGGGCAGGCUGCGGGGGGCGCCAGGGCCGCAGCUGCCACCUGGCCUCUGAGAAGCUGUAGAACAGGGUUCUUAACAUUCGGUCUUUGACCCCGAUCUUCCCAGUGCACUGAGACGGACCUCCACUUGGCUGCCCCUGCUCCUGGCCUCACAGUCUACAGGGUUUCCGCUUUGCCUGGACUCAGACCUCACUGCUGAGACAGAUCAUCUGCGGAGAAAGUUCACUUAUUCUUGACACUAAGACCGAGAGGUGGCGCAUGGGGAGGCCACUGGCGCAAGGGGACGGUCUCCCUUUCUUCCAUGGCACGCCCGAAGGCCAGAGCAGGGGUGCUCGGUCCAAGACAGUCUGUGGAGACUCUGUUUCACUUCCUAGCAGAUAGAGACAUAUGAUUCUGAAAUGACAGUCCCAUUUUACAUUAUUUUAAAAAUGUGUGUGUGUGUGUGUGUGUGUGUGUGUAUUUUUGCUUUGAACUUUUGGGAAAAUACUAUUUUCAUGAUUUUGUUCUGGAAUGAUUUGGCUUUGAGAAUUCAUUUAACUGGUGGCUGGUGAUCACUUCUUGGCAGUUUUCCUGCACACUUGGGGGCUCUGGGGGGGGACCAUCUGACCUCCAAACCGUUUCGGGUGGGAUGACUCCUUUAUGAACCCUUAAUAAAGCUGAUGCAAUUCUGCACUGUACAGACAUUUGUGUACACACUUAUUCAUUGUAAUUUUAAGGUUUUCUCUUUCUGG